UCACGCAUGGUGUUGUUAUCUAGUUGGUUUUUGGCGAAAUUUAUUAGAUCAAAUGGCGCUAUGCGUGUCUA
rfam:Pseudoalteromonas atlantica T6c, complete genome.